rnacentral:rRNA from 1 species
UACGUAGGUGGCAAGCGUUGUCCGGAUUUAUUGGGUUUAAAGGGUGCGUAGGUGGUCUAUUAAGUCAGUGCUGAAAUAUCCCGGCUUAACCGGGAGGGUGGCAUUGAUACUGAUGGACUUGAGUAAAGUUGAGGUUGGCGGAAUUGACGGUGUAGCGGUGAAAUGCGUAGAGAUCAGGAGGAACACCCGUGGCGAAGGCGGCACGCUGGGCCGGCCCUGACGCUGAGGCGCGAAAGCGUGGGGAGCGAACGGG